rnacentral:rRNA from 1 species
ACGGCUCAGUAACACGUGGACAACCAACCCUUGGGUCUGGCAUAAUCCUGGGAAACUGGGUAUAAUUCCAGAUAGGUCACAGAUGCUGGAAUGCACUGUGGCCGAAAGCUCCGGCGCCCAAGGAUGGGUCUGCGGCCUAUCAGGGUUGUAGUGGGUGUAACGGACCUACUAGCCUACGACGGGUACGGGUUGUGAGAGCAAGAGCCCGGAGAUGGAUUCUGAGACACGAAUCCAGGCCCUACGGGGUGCAGCAGGCGCGAAAACUUUACAAUGCGGGAAACCGUGAUAAGGGAAUCUCGAGUGCCAGCAUAUAAUGUUGGCUGUCCAGAUGCCUAAAAAGCAUCUGUUAGCAAGGGCCGGGCAAGACCGGUGCCAGCCGCCGCGGUAACACCGGCGGCCCGAGUGGUAACCGCUUUUAUUGGGUCUAAAGGGUCUGUAGCCGGCCAAGUAAGUCCCUUGGGAAAUCUGGCAGCUUAACUGUCAGGCUGCUAGGGGAUACUGCUAGGCUUGGGACCGGGAGAGGUGAGAGGUACCUUGGGGGUAGGGGUGAAAUCUUGUGAUCCUCGGGGGACCACCGGUGGCGAAGGCGUCUCACCAGAACGGGUCCGACGGUAAGGGACGAAAGCUAGGGGCACGAACCGGAUUAGAUACCCGGGUAGUCCUAGCCGUAAACGAUGCUCGCUAGGUGUCAGUCACGGUGCGACCGUGAUUGGUGCCGUAGGGAAGCCGUGAAGCGAGCCACCUGGGAAGUAUGGCCGCAAGGCUGAAACUUAGAGGAAUUGGCGGGGGAGCAC